rnacentral:rRNA from 1 species
AAUGACCUCAAAUCAGGC